GGGUUGCCUAUUGGACUGAAGGCAACAACCUCACUGCGGUCCGAAGUCGACAACAUUGGGAUCUGCACAAAAGAGUGUAGUGUAUAGUAUCAGCACAACUGACCCCAUGUGUUGGUAAGUGCCUAGCCUAACCUCGGCGAAGUAGUGACGAGGCUAGGACCAGACUACCAAAUAAAUCUGUGAAGUUAAAUCAUACACAUCGAAAAGAUAAAAGCAGAUAAUUACAGUUAAAGAUGGGAGGGGGAAAACAUGUUUCAGGGAAUAACAGAUAACAACAGAAUAUCGAGAGGAAUAUAAAGAAACCAAAAUCCAAUUACUACCAAGGAUAAGGAAAACAAAUGCAGAAUUCACUUUCAUUUCACAUCCUGUUGCAGGCGUGCAACCCGAUCCCAUUUCAUGUAUCUCGUUGCAGGCGUGUAACCCGCUCCCAUUUCAUGUAUCUCAUUGCAGGCGUGCAACCCGCUCCCAUUUCAUAUAUCUGUUGCAGGCGUGUAACCCGCUCCCAUUUCAUAUAUCUCGUUGCAGGCGUGCAACCCGCUCCCAUUUCAUAUAUCUCGUUGCAGGCGUGUAACCUGCUCCCAUUUCAUAUAUUUCCAUGGCGGCAUGCCACCCAAUCCUAGUUACAAAUCAACAACAACCACAAAAGAAUCCCGGUAAUGGAACAAGAGAAAUAUAACAACAUCCCGGCAAGGGCACAAUAAUAUUUCAACAACAUCCCGGCAAGGGAACAAUAAUAUCAGAAUAAACAUCCCACCAAGGAAACAAUAAUAUGACAAUAACAUCCCGACAAGGUAACAAUAAUGACAAUAGCAUGUGAAGCGCAAUAAACCACAAUGGAGUCAUAACAACCAUAAUACAAGACUCACGGGCAUGCUUGACACCGACGUAUAGAUACUCGUCACCAUGCCUAUACGUCAUACUCCACAAUUAACACAUAGCAAAUAAGACACAACUCCUAAUCCCUCAAUCUAAGGUUAGACCAAACACUUACCUCGAUGCCACGAACACAAUUCAAGUCUCUACUAUCGCUUUUCCUCUUGAUUUCACCACCAAUUCGCUCAUAUCUAGCCACAAGUUACUUAAUUACAUCAAUAAACGCGACAUGAAUCAAUUCUAAUGCAUGAAAAUAAGUUUUCCAAAGUUUUACCCAAAAAGUCAAAAAUCGCCCUCGGGCCUACAUGGUCAAAACCCGAGGUUCGAACUAAAACCCGAUUACCCAUUCCCUCACGAACCCAAUUAUAUAAUUUAUUUUGAAAUCGGACCUCAAAGCGAGUGUCCAAAUUCCCAAUUUUAAAAAACCUAGGUUCUACCGAAAACACCCAAUUUCCCCCAUGAAAAUCAUUGAUUUUGAGUUAAAAUCAUGUGAAAAGAUGUUAAUGAUUUAAGAAAAGAGUUAAAAUUGAUUACAAUCGAUUUGGAGAAGAAGUUGCCUUUGAAAAAUCAUCCUAGGGUGUUUUGGUUUUGAAAGAGUGUGAAAAAUGGCUGAAAUGCAUCUAAGUUAUGAACUUACAAGUCUCUGAUGUCGCAAUUGCGACCAGGGUUGGCAAUUGCGAACCCCUCAGAAAAUUGGACUUUCACAUUUGCGAUCCACUCAGUUUUCCAGUCAUCAUCACAUUUGCGAGAGACCGUUCGAAAAUGCGAAAUCGCAUUUGCAAGAAAAUAAUCGCAUUUGCAACUUUGGCUGCCAGGUCCAUUCUUUGCAUUUGCGAGCCAGGCUUCACAUUUGCGAAGCCUGCAGACCUGAUCAUACCAGCUGAAAACCUACAAUUUUCCUAAGUCCAAAUUCUACCCCGUGGCCUAUCCAAAACUCACCCGAGCCCUCGGGGCUCCAAACUAAACAUGUACACCAACCUAAAAACUUCAUACGGACUUGCUCGUGCAUUCAAAUCACCAAAAUAACAUCAACAAUUAUGAAUUUAGCAUCAAAAUCAUGAAAUUUCUUAAGAACAUCAAAUUUCCCAAUUUUCUCAAAUAAGGUCCGAUUCAUAUCAUUUCAAGUCCUUUUCUUACCAAAUUUCACAGACUUAUCUUAAAUCACAUAUAAGACAUAUACCGGGUGUUGGAACUAAAAUACGGGCUCGAUACCAUCAAGUUUAAACACAUUUUAUUUCCAAAACUCAUAAAUAAUUCCAGAAAAUAAAUUUCUUUAAAAAUUUAUUUCUCGGGCUUGGGACCUCAGAAUUCGAUUCCGGGCAUACGCUCAAGUCCCAUAUUUUUCUACGGACCCUCUGGGACCGUCAAAUUACGGGUCCAGGUCUAUUUACCCAAAAUAUUGACCGAAGUCAACUUAAAUCCAUUUUAAAGUCAAGAAUCAUCAUUUUUCAUAGAUUUUCACAUAAUGGCUUUCCGGCUACGCGCCCGGACUGCGAACACAAAUCGAGGUGAUGCUGAAAGAGGUUUUUAAUACCUCAGAAUACAUAAUUUACUUUUAAAACAAGUGAUGACCCAAAAGGUCAUCACAACCAAGAUACCUGUGCACUAAAUUAUUCAAAUUAACUCUCAAAAUCUAUGUAACGAACUAGGAAUACAACAACAAUUAAGAACAAAUAUGCAAGUUAAUAGUUGAAUUCCAACCCAUUAAAUAAAUCACUCUUAUAUAAGAUAUAGUCUAAAUUGUUCCUCUAGUAACAUUGACCCACUUAAAUCUAUUAAAUAAUAAAUAAUUACUGAAAAAGUUGAAAAAUUCAGAUUUUAGCUCAAGAAUAUUUAUGCUAAUUUCGUACUAUAGCUAUAAAGGAACAGUGAGUGCGAUGAUAUUUGAAUCCCUUGAUUUAAUAUGAUAGUCAGCAUCAUCUAUAUUCUAUUCCUAAUUAUAGGAAAAAUUGGCACUUAAUUUAUUGUGUGGUUGUCUUAUUCUUCAAAAUAUCGUUCCUAAGAACUUAGUUAAAGUCAACUAAAAUGUGCAUUACAGAACACAUAUAAAAGACCAAAAAAGGAAAUAAGAGCAUUUACAAGAAGACAAAGCUAAAAUAGUGGACUAGUCGUAAUCAAGAAAUUAUAAUGUGGAGUUAGGAAUAAUUUGCCAUGUCCUAUAUAUUAUCAUAGAAGAUCAAAGCAUAAAACCAACAGAGUCAUCAUCCAAGCAGCGCAUAGUUAAUUCAAGCAAAUUUGCAGCGGGGUACUUCAUGCGACAAUUUCGUCAUAAUAACUCAGACCCAUAUCUAAGCACAACACCAACAAAUAUGUAAAACAGAGACUUGGAAUAAGAUAUUGAACCUUUAGCAACAACAAAUUUACUUUAUUAGCAAACUCCUCCAAUGAAGUUACAAAAGAUGAAAUCAACGCCAAAUAAGCUCAAGCAAUGGAGUUCAAACAGAAACGUAGCGACACGGGAACCUCAAAUGCAACCUCCAAUGAAACCUCUGAUUUUUUGACUCACUCGACUACUCUUGGCCUGUUUUGAACUAUAAAUAGAAAUUCAAGGCAUGGUUUGCUGGCGAGUUUUUUUAAAGUUGUUUCAGUUGGGCUUUUGAGAUAAAAAUAGUGGUUUUGAAGGCUGAUUAAAGUAAUGCGAUGGCUAUUUUUUACCGUGAAGACGGAGUCCAGCUGCUUCAUUUUUUGGGGGGAUUAUAUAUGUCGUCUUUUGCUUUUUUGUGUGUGUUUCUUGCCGUUAUGUUGGAUAAUGAGGGGGGGAUUCCAUGGCUGGGUUUUCAAUUAAGGGGGGGGGGGGGGAGAUGACUGAUUUUUAUGUUGUUGAAGAAGUGAUCUGAAGGCUGCUCCUUUCUUCUCUUUUGUGUGUUGCGGCUGUGUGUAUGUAAUCCUUAGGGGGUGAGUAGCUCUUGUCUAAGCCCAGAAAGAAUUGAGAGGGAAUGGAGGAAACAAUUGAUUUGUGUUCUCUUCUCUAGGUUAGGUCUUGUG
rnacentral:lncRNA from 1 species